rnacentral:rRNA from 1 species
GAAUACCAAAGGUUUACCGCUAUAGGAUGGGGAUGCGUCUGAUUAGGUAGUAGGCGGGGUAACGGCCCACCUAGCCGACGAUCAGUAGGGGUUCUGAGAGGAAGGUCCCCCACAUUGGAACUGAGACACGGUCCAAACUCCUACGGGAGGCAGCAGUGAGGAAUAUUGGUCAAUGGACGGAAGUCUGAACCAGCCAAGUAGCGUGCAGGAUGACGGCCCUAUGGGUUGUAAACUGCUUUUAUAUAGGGAUAAAGUCGGGGACGUGUCCCCGUUUGUAGGUACUAUAUGAAUAAGGACCGGCUAAUUCCGUGCCAGCAGCCGCGGUAAUACGGAAGGUCCAGGCGUUAUCCGGAUUUAUUGGGUUUAAAGGGAGCGCAGGCUGAUGAUUAAGCGUGACGUGAAAUGUAGCCGCUCAACGGCUGAACCGCGUCGCGAACUGGUUAUCUUGAGUGAGUUCGAUGUUGGCGGAAUUCGUGGUGUAGCGGUGAAAUGCUUAGAUAUCACGAAGAACUCCGAUUGCGAAGGCAGCCAACAAGGCCUUUACUGAUGCUAAAGCUCGAAGGUGCGGGUAUCGAACAGGAUUAGAUACCCUGGUAGUCCGCACGGUAAACGAUGGAUGCCCGCUGUUUGCGAUAUACUGUGAGCGGCCAAGAGAAAUCGUUAAGCAUCCCACCUGGGGAGUACGCCGGCAACGGUGAAACUCAAAGGAAUUGACGGGGGCCGCACAAGCGGAGGAACAUGUGGUUUAAUUCGAUGAUACGCGAGGAACCUUACCCGGGCUUGAACUGCCAGCGAACGAUUCAGAGAUGAUGAGGUCCUUCGGGACGCUGGUGGAGGUGCUGCAUGGUUGUCGUCAGCUCGUGCCGUGAGGU